GAUGAACGCUAGCUACAGGCUUAACACAUGCAAGUCGAGGGGCAGCAUUUUAGUUUGCUUGCAAACUGAAGAUGGCGACCGGCGCACGGGUGAGUAACACGUAUCCAACCUGCCGAUAACUCCGGAAUAGCCUUUCGAAAGAAAGAUUAAUACCGGAUAGCAUACGAAUAUCGCAUGAUAUUUUUAUUAAAGAAUUUCGGUUAUCGAUGGGGAUGCGUUCCAUUAGUUUGUUGGCGGGGUAACGGCCCACCAAGACUACGAUGGAUAGGGGUUCUGAGAGGAAGGUCCCCCACAUUGGAACUGAGACACGGUCCAAACUCCUACGGGAGGCAGCAGUGAGGAAUAUUGGUCAAUGGGCGAGAGCCUGAACCAGCCAAGUAGCGUGAAGGAUGAAGGCUCUAUGGGUCGUAAACUUCUUUUAUAUGGGAAUAAAGUUUUCCACGUGUGGAAUUUUGUAUGUACCAUAUGAAUAAGGAUCGGCUAACUCCGUGCCAGCAGCCGCGGUAAUACGGAGGAUCCGAGCGUUAUCCGGAUUUAUUGGGUUUAAAGGGAGCGUAGGUGGAUUGUUAAGUCAGUUGUGAAAGUUUGCGGCUCAACCGUAAAAUUGCAGUUGAAACUGGCAGUCUUGAGUACAGUAGAGGUGGGCGGAAUUCGUGGUGUAGCGGUGAAAUGCUUAGAUAUCACGAAGAACUCCGAUUGCGAAGGCAGCUCACUAGACUGUCACUGACACUGAUGCUCGAAAGUGUGGGUAUCAAACAGGAUUAGAUACCCUGGUAGUCCACACAGUAAACGAUGAAUACUCGCUGUUUGCGAUAUACAGUAAGCGGCCAAGCGAAAGCAUUAAGUAUUCCACCUGGGGAGUACGCCGGCAACGGUGAAACUCAAAGGAAUAGACGGGGGCCCGCACAAGCGGAGGAACAUGUGGUUUAAUUCGAUGAUACGCGAGGAACCUUACCCGGGCUUAAAUUGCAACAGAAUAUAUUGGAAACAGUAUAGCCGUAAGGCUGUUGUGAAGGUGCUGCAUGGUUGUCGUCAGCUCGUGCCGUGAGGUGUCGGCUUAAGUGCCAUAACGAGCGCAACCCUUAUCUUUAGUUACUAACAGGUUAUGCUGAGGACUCUAGAGAGACUGCCGUCGUAAGAUGUGAGGAAGGUGGGGAGGACGUCAAAUCAGCACGGCCCCUACGUCCGGGGGUACACACGUGUUACAAUGGGGGGUACAGAAGGCGGCUACCUGGUGACAGGAUGCUAAUCCCAAAAACCUCUCUCAGUUCGGAUCGAAGUCUGCAACCCGACUUCGUGAAGCUGGAUUCGCUAGUAAUCGCGCAUCAGCCAUGGCGCGGUGAAUAAAAGGCCGCCCCUUGCACU
rnacentral:rRNA from 1 species